rnacentral:snoRNA from 1 species
UGCUGUGAUGUAACUACCGUGUGCCAGAGAUGAAGUUAUUCAUCGUUGACGGCAAACAUAACCUUAGAGUUCUAAGCU